rnacentral:misc_RNA from 1 species
GUGAGUCAUCGAAUCUUUGAACGCACAUUGCGCUCUUCGGUACUCCGAGGAGCAUGCCCGUUUCAGAAUCAGCAAAACAUCCUCCUCUUGACUGAGCAGGGAAUUGGGAACGUCUUCCCCCCCACGGAACACGCUCUGUGUGAAGUGGGGAUGGGGACGUAUCCGAAAAUCAUUCAAAUGGCCUGGGAAAGACGACUCGCGGAGUCCUCCACGAAGUGCAACAAAGUCGACCUGUUCGAUCUCAUUUCGCUUCGUACAUGGGGGGCUAGACCAACCGUGUUUUGUCCCGAUCCAGAUUGC